GUAACAAGGUUUCCGUAGGUGAACCUGCGGAAGGAUCAUUACAGAGUUCAUGCCCGAAAGGGUAGACCUCCCACCCUUGUGUAUUAUUACUUUGUUGCUUUGGCGAGCUGCUCUUCGGGGCCUUGUAUGCUCGCCAGAGAAUAUCAAAACUCUUUUUAUUAAUGUCGUCUGAGUACUAUAUAAUAGUUAAAACUUUCAACAACGGAUCUCUUGGUUCUGGCAUCGAUGAAGAACGCAGCGAAAUGCGAUAAGUAAUGUGAAUUGCAGAAUUCAGUGAAUCAUCGAAUCUUUGAACGCACAUUGCGCCCCUUGGUAUUCCGGGGGGCAUGCCUGUUCGAGCGUCAUUUCAACCCUCAAGCUCAGCUUGGUAUUGAGUCCAUGUCAGUAAUGGCAGGCUCUAAAAUCAGUGGCGGCGCCGCUGGGUCCUGAACGUAGUAAUAUCUCUCGUUACAGGUUCUCGGUGUGCUUCUGCCAAAACCCAAAUUUUCUAUGGUUGACCUCGGAUCAGGUAGGGAUACCCGCUGAACUUAAGCAUAUCAAUAAGCGGAGGAAAAGAAACCAACAGGGAUUACCUCAGUAACGGCGAGUGAAGCGGUAAAAGCUCAAAUUUGAAAUCUGGCUCUUUCAGAGUCCGAGUUGUAAUUUGUAGAAGAUGCUUCGGGUGUGGUUCCGGUCUAAGUUCCUUGGAACAGGACGUCAUAGAGGGUGAGAAUCCCGUAUGUGACUGGAUACCUAUGCUCAUGUGAAGCUCUUUCGACGAGUCGAGUUGUUUGGGAAUGCAGCUCAAAAUGGGUGGUAUAUUUCAUCUAAAGCUAAAUAUUGGCCAGAGACCGAUAGCGCACAAGUAGAGUGAUCGAAAGAUGAAAAGCACUUUGGAAAGAGAGUUAAACAGUACGUGAAAUUGUUGAAAGGGAAGCGCUUGCAAUCAGACUUGCACUUGGUGUUCAUCAGGGUUUCGUGCCCUGUGUACUUCAUCAAGUUCAGGCCAGCAUCAGUUUGAGUGGUUAGAUAAAGGCUUGGAGAAUGUGGCCCUCUUCGGGGGGUGUUAUAGCUCCAGGUGCAAUGUAGCCUACUUGGACUGAGGACCGCGCUUCGGCUAGGAUGCUGGCGUAAUGGUUGUAAGCGACCCGUCUUGAAACACGGACCAAGGAGUGUACCUAAUAUGCGAGUGUUUGGGUGUUAAACCCAUACGCGUAAUGAAAGUGAACGCUGGUGAGAACCCUUAAGGGUGCAUCAUCGACCGAUCUUGAUGUCUUCGGAUGGAUUUGAGUAAGAGCAUAUUGGGUGCGACCCGAAAGAUGAUGAUCUAUACGUGAAUAGGGUGAAGCCAGAGGAAACUCUGGUGGAGGCUCGCAGCGGUUCUGACGUGCAAAUCGAUCGUCAAAUUUGCGUAUAGGGGCGAAAGACUAAUCGAAUCAUUAAGGAAUAGACCAAGCUCUAGGUGAUUGAGAAACCCCUUUGGGGUAUUAGUCCUGGAGACAGGGCGACAUUGUCAAAUUGUUCGGGGACCACCUGUUAAAUUAUAUGCUACUGCAGCAGUGCUGAAAGGCCUGUGAGCACUGAGGGUAACGCCCUCAGGGAUGGUAAUAACGCAUAUAUAGGGUAUAUCCGCAGCGAAGUUCUAAGGCUUUCGAGCUAUGAAUCGCGUUCACAGACUAGACGGCAAUGGGCUCCUCGCGGGGCUUAAGAUAUAGUCGAACCCCUCAGAGAUGAGGAUGGAAUCAAUGCUAGUAGCUGG
rnacentral:rRNA from 1 species